rnacentral:rRNA from 1 species
UACGGGGGGGGCAAGCGUUGUUCGGAAUUACUGGGCGUAAAGGGCGCGUAGGCGGCCUACUAAGUCGGACGUGAAAUCCCUCGGCUCAACCGGGGAACUGCGUCCGAUACUGGUGGGCUUGAAUCCGGGAGAGGGAUGUGGAAUUCCAGGUGUAGCGGUGAAAUGCGUAGAUAUCUGGAGGAACACCGGUGGUGAAGGCGGCAUCCUGGACCGGUAUUGACGCUGAUGCGCGAAAGCCAGGGGAGCAAACGGG